rnacentral:rRNA from 1 species
CCCUACGGGGUGCACCAGGUAAUCCCUCAGGUAUUGUUUGUCGAAGCUUUCGGGGCUGGAUCCUACCUUAUAACAGUCCGCCGGCCAGAAGCGGCUGGAGUCGGGAGUCAGGACCUCAUCGAUGAGGGUGAGGCGAUCCUCGAUGAGACCGAACUCGAAUUUCGUAUCCGCCAGGAUAAUUCCGCGGCUGAGAGCAUACUCCGCCGCCCUCCCGUAGAUUUUCAGGCUCAUGUCCCUGACCUGCCCGGCCAUUGCCUCACCCAGCGCACGAGACAUCUGAUCGAAGGAAACAUUUUCAUCGUGUCCGCCUUUUUCAGCCUUGGUGGACGGGGUGAAAAUCGGCUCAGGAAUCUUUUGAGCCUCCUGCAUGGCGGGGGGGC